UACGUAGGGUGCAAGCGUUAAUCGGAAUUACUGGGCGUAAAGCGUGCGCAGGCGGUUCGGAAAGAAAGAUGUGAAAUCCCAGAGCUUAACUUUGGAACUGCAUUUUUAACUCCCGGGCUAGAGUAUGUCAGAGGGGGGUAGAAUUCCACGUGUAGCAGUGAAAUGCGUAGAGAUGUGGAGGAAUACCGAUGGCGAAGGCAGCCCCCUGGGAUAAUACUGACGCUCAGGCACGAAAGCGUGGGGAGCAAACAGG
rnacentral:rRNA from 1 species